rnacentral:rRNA from 1 species
GGUUAAGCGACUAAGCGUACACGGUGGAUGCCCUGGCAGUCAGAGGCGAUGAAGGACGUGCUAAUCUGCGAUAAGCGUCGGUAAGGUGAUAUGAACCGUUAUAACCGGCGAUUUCCGAAUGGGGAAACCCAGUGUGUUUCGACACACUAUCAUUAACUGAAUCCAUAGGUUAAUGAGGCGAACCGGGGGAACUGAAACAUCUAAGUACCCCGAGGAAAAGAAAUCAACCGAGAUUCCCCCAGUAGCGGCGAGCGAACGGGGAGCAGCCCAGAGCCUGAAUCAGUGUGUGUGUUAGUGGAAGCGUCUGGAAAGGCGUGCGAUACAGGGUGACAGCCCCGUACACAAAAAUGCACAUAUUGUGAGCUCGAUGAGUAGGGCAGGGACACCGUGGUAUCCUGUCUGAAUAUGGGGGGACCAUCCUCCAAGGCUAAAUACUCCUGACUGACCGAUAGUGAACCAGUACCGUGAGGGAAAGGCGAAAAGAACCCCGGCGAGGGGAGUGAAAAAGAACCUGAAACCGUGUACGUACAAGCAGUGGGAGCCUCUUAAUGGGGUGACUGCGUACCUUUUGUAUAAUGGGUCAGCGACUUAUAUUCUGUAGCAAGGUUAACCGAAUAGGGGAGCCGAAGGGAAACCGAGUCUUAACUGGGCGUUAAGUUGCAGGGUAUAGACCCGAAACCCGGUGAUCUAGCCAUGGGCAGGUUGAAGGUUGGGUAACACUAACUGGAGGACCGAACCGACUAAUGUUGAAAAAUUAGCGGAUGACUUGUGGCUGGGGGUGAAAGGCCAAUCAAACCGGGAGAUAGCUGGUUCUCCCCGAAAGCUAUUUAGGUAGCGCCUCGUGAAUUCAUCUCCGGGGGUAGAGCACUGUUUCGGCAAGGGGGUCAUCCCGACUUACCAACCCGAUGCAAACUGCGAAUACCGGAGAAUGUUAUCACGGGAGACACACGGCGGGUGCUAACGUCCGUCGUGAAGAGGGAAACAACCCAGACCGCCAGCUAAGGUCCCAAAGUCAUGGUUAAGUGGGAAACGAUGUGGGAAGGCCCAGACAGCCAGGAUGUUGGCUUAGAAGCAGCCAUCAUUUAAAGAAAGCGUAAUAGCUCACUGGUCGAGUCGGCCUGCGCGGAAGAUGUAACUGGGGCUAAACCAUGCACCGAAGCUGCGGCAGCGACACUAUGUGUUGUUGGGUAGGGGAGCGUUCUGUAAGCCUGUGAAGGUGGCCUGUGAGGGUUGCUGGAGGUAUCAAGAAGUGCGAAUGCUGACAUAAGUAACGAUAAAGCGGGUGAAAAGCCCKCUCGCCGGAAGACCAAGGGUUCCUGUCCAACGUUAAUCGGGGCANGGUGAGUCGACCCCUAAGGCGAGGCCGAAAGGCGUAGUCUAUGGGAAACAGGUUAAUAUUCCUGUACUUGGUGUUACUGCGAAAGGGGGACGGAGAAGGCUAUGUUGGCCGGGCGACGGUUGUCCCGGUUUAAGCGUGUAGGCUGGUUUUCCAGGCAAAUCCGGAAAAUCAAGGCUGAGGCGUGAUGACGAGGCACUACGGUGCUGAAGCAACAAAUGCCCUGCUUCCAGGAAAAGCCUCUAAGCAUCAGGUAACAUCAAAUCGUACCCCAAACCGACACAGGUGGUCAGGUAGAGAAUACCAAGGCGCUUGAGAGAACUCGGGUGAAGGAACUAGGCAAAAUGGUGCCGUAACUUCGGGAGAAGGCACGCUGAUAUGUAGGUGAAGCGACUUGCUCGUGGAGCUGAAAUCAGUCGAAGAUACCAGCUGGCUGCAACUGUUUAUUAAAAACACAGCACUGUGCAAACACGAAAGUGGACGUAUACGGUGUGACGCCUGCCCGGUGCCGGAAGGUUAAUUGAUGGGGUUAGCCGCAAGGCGAAGCUCUUGAUCGAAGCCCCGGUAAACGGCGGCCGUAACUAUAACGGUCCUAAGGUAGCGAAAUUCCUUGUCGGGUAAGUUCCGACCUGCACGAAUGGCGUAAUGAUGGCCAGGCUGUCUCCACCCGAGACUCAGUGAAAUUGAACUCGCUGUGAAGAUGCAGUGUACCCGCGGCAAGACGGAAAGACCCCGUGAACCUUUACUAUAGCUUGACACUGAACAUUGAGCCUUGAUGUGUAGGAUAGGUGGGAGGCUUUGAAGUGUGGACGCCAGUCUGCAUGGAGCCGACCUUGAAAUACCACCCUUUAAUGUUUGAUGUUCUAACGUUGGCCCGUAAUCCGGGUUGCGGACAGUGUCUGGUGGGUAGUUUGACUGGGGCGGUCUCCUCCUAAAGAGUAACGGAGGAGCACGAAGGUUGGCUAAUCCUGGUCGGACAUCAGGAGGUUAGUGCAAUGGCAUAAGCCAGCUUGACUGCGAGCGUGACGGCGCGAGCAGGUGCGAAAGCAGGUCAUAGUGAUCCGGUGGUUCUGAAUGGAAGGGCCAUCGCUCAACGGAUAAAAGGUACUCCGGGGAUAACAGGCUGAUACCGCCCAAGAGUUCAUAUCGACGGCGGUGUUUGGCACCUCGAUGUCGGCUCAUCACAUCCUGGGGCUGAAGUAGGUCCCAAGGGUAUGGCUGUUCGCCAUUUAAAGUGGUACGCGAGCUGGGUUUAGAACGUCGUGAGACAGUUCGGUCCCUAUCUGCCGUGGGCGCUGGAGAACUGAGGGGGGCUGCUCCUAGUACGAGAGGACCGGAGUGGACGCAUCACUGGUGUUCGGGUUGUCAUGCCAAUGGCACUGCCCGGUAGCUAAAUGCGGAAGAGAUAAGUGCUGAAAGCAUCUAAGCACGAAACUUGCCCCGAGAUGAGUUCUCCCUGACUCCUUGAGGGUCCUGAAGGAACGUUGAAGACGACGACGUUGAUAGGCCGGGUGUGUAAGCGCAGCGAUGCGUUGAGCUAACCGGUACUAAUGAACCGUGAGGCUUAACCUU